GUCGGCCGCACCAGCCUCCAAACCCGCGUCGGAGGACUACAAGCGCGCCGGCCGCGCCAACGGCCUGCAGCGCCGCCCAGCUCAGCAUGAUAUCCAAUUGCCCCCCAUAAACGUGGUCCCGUGCAAGACGGAAUCGUGUCGCUGCGACCUGAAGCAGUGACCAAAUAAAACGACGUAGUUUAGAAAAUAUUGUAUUUAUUUAUUCAACUUUAGAACGUGUUCGUACUAUUAUUUUAACAUAGAGAGCGUUUGUUUAUGGCACGAGUGUGAUACUUAAUUUGUGACUAGAGAGAAUGGUGGAUAGUGAUGAUGUCAAAUUUCUGUGAAAA